rnacentral:rRNA from 1 species
AAUAUUGGACAAUGGGGGAAAACCUGAUCCAGCCAUGCCGCGUGUGUGAAGAAUGUCUUCUGAUUGUAAAGUACUUUAAUUUGGGAGGAAGGUUUGUUGGCUCAUAUCCAGCAAUUUUGUCUUUACGGACCGAAUAAUCCUUGGCUAACUCUGUGCCAGCAGCCGCGGUAAUAAAGAGGGUGCAUGCAUUAAUCGGAAUUACUGGGCGUAAAGCGCGGGUAGGUGAUUCAGUAAGAUGGGUGUGAAAUCCCCGGGCUUAACCUGGGAACUGCUUUCAUAACUGCUGGGCUAGAGUACGGUAGAGGGUAGUGGAAUUUCCUGUGUAGCGGUGAAAUGCGUAGUUAUAGGAAGGAACACCAGUGGCGAAGGCGACUACCUGGACUGAUACUGACACUGAGGUGCGAAAGCGUGGGGAGCAAACA